AUGCCCUAGUAAUGCUUGUUUUUCCUCGAAGUCAGCAUCUUUCGAGGACAAGUGGAAGUAGCAUUGGCUAGCUCCGAGCAGCAUCUCAACUUAGCACGACAGUCGUACAGCAUUACACAACAUUUGUCAUCACGGCAAGAAGAAAAGGGACACACGUACAAACCGAUUGACUGGACAGAAAAGGGGAAUUGGUGUGCAAACCACAGCAGAACAAUAGUUACAUAGUCUUGAUAUUUGACGACAAGCAAUGUUACACAAUCAAAUUGCAUUUUCUUUGGGGGCACCCAUUGAGGACAUGAGACAACUCACAAACAGGACAAGAUCCGAGAGGAGAGUAAAGGGCCAGGUUGUCUCGCCACCGUCAGCGUUCGUCUUGAGGCUGAUGGAGGAUGACGGGGAGGAGGAGGAUGAUCGUCCGACGCUACCUGACUUUUUUCUGGACACCGUGCCCUGUUUCAGUGUGGCCUUGGCAGCC